UGGGCUUGACAUGCACGGGACAGCCCUAGAAACAGGGCCUCUCUUCGGAGUCCGUGUGC
rnacentral:rRNA from 1 species